rnacentral:rRNA from 1 species
UACGAAGGGGCUAGCGUUGUUCGGAAUUACUGGGCGUAAAGCGCACGUAGGCGGAUACUUAAGUCAGGGGUGAAAUCCCGGGGCUCAACCCCGGAACUGCCUUUGAUACUGGGUAUCUCGAGUCCGGAAGAGGUGAGUGGAAUUCCGAGUGUAGAGGUGAAAUUCGUAGAUAUUCGGAGGAACACCAGUGGCGAAGGCGGACUCACUGGUCCGGUACUGACGCUGAGGUGCGAAAGCGUGGGGAG